rnacentral:lncRNA from 1 species
CUGUUCCCUUUCAAUUGAAUCUUAGCGGGAUAUUCAACCAUGAAACUGGAUGCCAAGUGAUCAUUAAGCUCAUCUCUUUGGUUAAACUUCAAAGAUAACCCACUCACUUGAUGCUUCGCCGCAGGUCGCUUCACUUGCUGGUGUUCUGGGUCCUUUUCGAGAAUGUCAUGUCUCUGCAUAGAACAAAAGCAACCUUGAGUGGCCUCCUCGAUUUAGGGAGAGUUAAUGAAUGGGUGGUCACUGAGAAGCUCGGGGAUAUUAUGAAGACAAAAUUGCCUACCAAAGCAGCUAAGAAGCCAAGAGUCAGGAUUGGCGAUAGGUAAUCCCAAACCUACUGACUUUUAACUUGAGAAUAUAACAGCAUCAAAACUACAAAGGCUACUGCACAGAAGACAAAAGUUUAGCUGUAAUACCUGUAAUGGUAUUGAUGUGCUCUCUGUGUUGUUUUUGGAAUCAGGUUACAUAAAAUGGAGCUCUUUACUGGGGCCUAUCUCUUCUUCUGUGCAUGCUAUGAUCUGAAGUAUGGGAAGAACCAUUACUUCCUCUACCUCUUCCU